GAGGGGAAAGGAAAAGGGGUUGAAUCCUUGUUUUGUUCUUUUGUUCUUUUUUUUUUCUUUUUCUCUUUUUGUCAGGACUUGUUUACUUUACACCCUACCCAAGUUUGGCUGCAUUUUUUUGAGUGUGAUAACUUUUUUUAUAAAAAGGAGAGAGAGAGAGAGAUGGCUAUUUCAACCCCGUUUUAAGGGGUUAAUAAGCUACUCACUCGCUCACUGUUAUAUAAUAUUCGUACAUGUUGCCGUAUAAAUUGUAAACAGUAAGCAAUCCCCAUCCUUUCACUCUUGAAUCAUGCAACAGUCCGUGCAUAUAAAGCU
rnacentral:sRNA from 1 species